rnacentral:lncRNA from 1 species
UCACGUCGGAAAGCUAAGGAGCAGAUAAAGGGAAAAUCUUUUCAGAAGAAUUUUGUGAUCCAGCCGACUGAGGCAUUUCUCAGUUUCUUCCACUACAACCGAUGGCACUAGAUGCUCUACAGUGGAAGUUAUCGACUAUGCUUCUCUUUCCAGAACAGUGAUGCUAAGUCUGAGAUGAACUUUCUCACACAUGUCGAGCAUCAUCAGGUCGAGUGACG